GUACAUUUAAAUAUUAUUUCAACCGAAUUUAUCAUUUGUUAAAACAGUAUCGGUUAGCGUACAAGCAAAUCAAAUUUAUACCGAAGCCAGAGGAAAAGCAAUCUUUAGAAAGCUUUGGAAAAGCUUUAGAAAAGCAAAUUACUAUUAUCACACAACUUUUUCAACCAAGUUUGUACGGAAGGUCAUCAGCUGACACAAUAUUUUUAUAAGGCGAAACCGGUGCGACGAUAUUUCUGGAACAUUGAAAGAAUAAUAGCAAAUACGAAAUCUGAUGUUUGAUCUCUAUAAAUUGAUAAAUUCUUGCACCGAUCCAUGAGGGAAGUAUCUUACAAAUGUCGUCGUUUCUUUGCAUACACCUUAUUAUUAAAUUAUAAUGAUAUUCUUUUCUUUUAUUAUUGUCUUCAGUUUUAGCACGCUA